rfam:Heterocephalus glaber contig266514, whole genome shotgun sequence.
UGUGGCUCAGUGGUAGAGCACUUGCCUAGCGUGUGAGAAGUCCUGGGUUCCAUCCCUAGCA